CAUAGGGACCCCAUAGGGACCCAUAGAGAGCCAUAGAGAGCCCAUAGAGAGCCAUAGAGAACCAAUAGGGACCCAUAGAGAGCCAUAGAGAGCCCAUAGAGACCUCAUAGGGACCCCAUAGGGACCCAUAGAGAGCCCAUAGAGAGCCAUAGAGAGCCAUAGAGAGCCCAUAGAGAACCAAUAGGGACCCAUAGAGAGACAUAGAGAGCCAUAGAGACCUCAUAGGGACCCCAUAGGGACCCCAUAGAGAGCCCAUAGGGACGCAUAGAUGACCCAUAGGGACCCAUAGAGAGCCCAUAGAGAGCCCAUAGAGACCCAUAGAGUACAUAGAGACCCAUAGAGUACAUAGAGAGCCCAUAGGGAUCCAUAGAGACACAUAGGGACCCAUAGAGUACAUAGAGACCCAUAGAGACCCCAUAGAGACACGGCACUGCGGGGGGCACAGCGGGAAUGGGGGGGCUGCGGGACCGUUGGGGACAUAGAGACCCCAUAGAGAGCCCAUAAAGACCCCAUAGAGAGCACAUAGAGAGCCCAUAGGACCCAUAG
ensembl:lncRNA